rnacentral:sRNA from 1 species
AAUAUUAUUGUUAUGCAAAAAAUAACUUACAGCUUGAAUUUUAUUUGCAGGUAGAGAAGGACAGAGUUAAUAAGUCAAAAAUGGAUUAAGUUCAUUAGACUGACUUAUUUCAAACAUGUUUAUUUUACUUUUGUUAUUUUGAA